UACGAAGGGGGCUAGCGUUGCUCGGAAUCACUGGGCGUAAAGCGUGCGUAGGCUGCUUGGAAAGUUGGAAGUGAAAGCCCAGGGCUCAACCCUGGAAUUGCUUUCAAAACUACCAGGCUAGGAUUUGGGAGAGGAUAGCGGAAUUGUCAGUGUAGCAGUGAAAUGCGUAGAUAUUGACAGGAACACCAGUGGCGCAAGCGGCUAUCUGGACCAACAUCGACGCUGAGGCACGAAAGCGUGGGGAUCAAACAGG
rnacentral:rRNA from 1 species